GAGCGGCGGACGGGUGAGUAAUGUCUGGGAAACUGCCUGAUGGAGGGGGAUAACUACUGGAAACGGUAGCUAAUACCGCAUGACGUCUUCGGACCAAAGUGGGGGACCUUCGGGCCUCACGCCAUCAGAUGUGCCCAGAUGGGAUUAGCUAGUAGGUGGGGUAAUGGCUCACCUAGGCGACGAUCUCUAGCUGGUCUGAGAGGAUGACCAGCCACACUGGAACUGAGACACGGUCCAGACUCCUACGGGAGGCAGCAGUGGGGAAUAUUGCACAAUGGGCGCAAGCCUGAUGCAGCCAUGCCGCGUGUAUGAAGAAGGCCUUCGGGUUGUAAAGUACUUUCAGCGAGGAGGAAGGCAUUAAGGUUAAUAACCUUAGUGAUUGACGUUACUCGCAGAAGAAGCACCGGCUAACUCCGUGCCAGCAGCCGCGGUAAUACGGAGGGUGCAAGCGUUAAUCGGAAUUACUGGGCGUAAAGCGCACGCAGGCGGUUUGUUAAGUCAGAUGUGAAAUCCCCGAGCUUAACUUGGGAACUGCAUUUGAAACUGGCAAGCUAGAGUCUUGUAGAGGGGGGUAGAAUUCCAGGUGUAGCGGUGAAAUGCGUAGAGAUCUGGAGGAAUACCGGUGGCGAAGGCGGCCCCCUGGACAAAGACUGACG
rnacentral:rRNA from 1 species